UACGUAUGGGGCGAGCGUUGUUCGGAAUCAUUGGGCGUAAAGGGCGCGUAGGCGGUUCAGGAAGCCCGGUGUGAAAGGCUACGGCUUAACCGUAGUUUUGCGCUGGGAACUGUUGGACUGGAGUUUAGGAGGGGAAGCUGGAAUUCCUGGUGUAGGGGUGAAAUCUGUAGAUAUCAGGAAGAACACCGGAGGCGAAGGCGAGCUUCUAUCCAUAGACUGACGCUGAGGCGCGAAAGCGUGGGGAG
rnacentral:rRNA from 1 species